rnacentral:ncRNA from 2 species
AAUAGCCAAGGGAAUGAAGUUCUCCCUGCGCUGUUAAAGCCGAACCGCUUAUUAAGCUGAUGACUUCUGCGAUUAU